CAUCAUUGAAGUGGAACGAUUUUUAGUGCUUCAGCAGUGGAAAUCAACAUUUCAUGAUAAAUAUUUUCCAUGAGCACCAUAAGUGCUUGAUUGAUUUAGGAGGAUUAGAAGAAUAUGCAAAAUGGUAAAGUAAAAUGGUUUAACAACGAAAAAGGUUUUGGCUUUAUUGAAGUAGAAGGCGGAGACGAUGUAUUCGUACAUUUCUCAGCAAUCCAAGGCGAAGGUUUCAAAUCUUUAGAAGAAGGUCAAGAAGUUUCUUUCGAAAUUGUUGAAGGCAACCGCGGACCUCAAGCUGCUAACGUAGUCAAAUUAUAAUCACACAUAUAUGCUAAAAAAAGCGGACGAUUUUUAAAUCGUCCGCUUUUC
rnacentral:sRNA from 1 species